CCUACUUCUAGUGAUUGGCCCUCAUGUUAGCGGCAUAACAUCCGGCGAAAAAUGGCGGGGAGACACUUGGCUUUUCACCGCGUUUUUUGACCGGCUACGCUGGACUUCUUUCAACCAAUCAGGAUGCAGAGGACACAGACGCGGCGGGGGUCGGUUCAGAGGGCCACGGAUGCAGCUGCAAGGGUCCAGCAGAGGCGCACCACCCGCCCUUGGAGCCCAGUGAAAGUCAUGCCGCUUGGUGCAGUGCUGAAAGUGUGUCAGAGGUGGGAGGCUCCUGGGCCCAGCCCGCUCUCUCCAAUCGCCAUGCAGAGUCCCAGAGAGGGGACCAACCCCCAUCUAAGCAAACCCAAGCUGGGGAGGGGGUGUACCUGAGACGUACUUCCCACCGACUCACAGAUUCCAAACACACAAAGAUAGAAUAACUGUUUCUCUUGCUUAUACGAGUCUCUACUGGUGAGUGGUUGGUCUGCGCAGUUUAGUCACAUUAACCCAUCAGUGUCUCAGAUACACACAUUCAACAGUUUUACAGUAUGUAGCACUGAUACGUUUCAUAAACGUUGGAUGACUGUCUGUCCGAUGCCACUGCAGGGACUUUACGCCACUUUAAAUAUAGCAUGCUACUGAGCUACCUAGUUAGCCUCCAAUUUAUUUAUUCUGAACUUAAGAAAGGGUUUCAAGUUGCGAAGAAGGACAAAGUAAGAAACCAAAAAUAUACCACUUCCACACAGAAUGGGAGGAGAACUUAUUUUCACUACACGCAGUGUGAUGGUAAUCUAAUCUAAUGUCAUCUCUCAUCAAUGUCACAUGACUUAUACCUAUUUUCUACCGCUUUUUCCUCACGAGGGUCGCGGGGGUGCUGGAGCCUAUCCCAGCUGUCUUUGGGCGAGAGGCGGGGUACACCCUGGACUGGUCGCUAGCCAAUCACAGGGUACAUAUAGACAAACAACCAUUCACACUCACAUUCAUACCUAUGGACAAUUUGGAGUCACCAAUUAACCUAGCAUGUUUUUGGAAUGUGGUCUCCUAGCUGUGAGGUCUGUGCGCUAACCACUUGACCGCUGUGCUGCCCAUAAAAUAAAAUAAUAUCAUAAAAAUAAAUAACUAUAAUUGUCUUUCAAUAUUUUUGAAUGUGAUGCU